rnacentral:rRNA from 1 species
UACGUAGGGGGCAAGCGUUGUCCGGAAUCAUUGGGCGUAAAGCGCGUGUAGGCGGGUCGGUAAGUCCGCUCUGAAAGCCCGGGGCUCAACCCCGGGAGGCGGGUGGAUACUGUCGACCUCGAGUCCGGAAGAGGCGAGUGGAAUUCCUGGUGUAGCGGUGAAAUGCGCAGAUAUCAGGAAGAACACCCGUGGCGAAAGCGGCUCUCUGGAACGGUACUGACGCUGAGGAGCGAAAGCGUGGGGAGCGAACAGG